rnacentral:lncRNA from 1 species
UGAUGCUGGCCUCAUAAAAUGAGUUAGGGAGGAUUCCCUCUUUUUCUAUUGAUUGGAAUAGUUUCAGAAGGACUAGUACCAGCUCUUCCUUGUACCUCUGGUAGAAUUCGGCUGUGAAUCCUUCUGGUCCUGGACUUUUUUGGUUGGUAGGCUAUUAAUUAUUGGCUCAAUUUCAGAGCCUGUUAUUGGUCUAUUCAGGGAUUCAGUUUUUUCCUGGUUUAGUCUUGGGAGGGUGUAUGUGUCCAGGAAUUUAUCCAUUUCUUCUCGAUUUUCUAGUUUAUUUGCAUAGAGGUGUUUAUAAUAUUCUCUGAUGGUAGUUUGUAUUUCUGUGGGAUCAGUGGUGAUAUCCCCUUUAUCAUUUUUUAUUGCGUCUAUUUGAUUCUUCUCUCUUUUCUUCUUUAUUAGUCUUGCUAGCUAUCAAUUUUGUUGAUCUUUUCAAAAAAGCAGCUCCUGGAUUCAUUGAUUUUUUGAAGGGUUUUUGUGUCUCUAUCUCCUUCAGUUCUGCUCUGAUCUUAGUUAUUUAUUGCCUUCUGCUAGCUUUUGAAUGUGUUUGCUCUUGCUUCUCUAGUUUUUUUAAUUGUGAUGUUAGGGUGUCAAUUUUAGAUCUUUCCUGCUUUCUCUUGUGGGUAUUUAGUGCUAUAAAUUUCCCUCUACACACUGCUUUAAAUGUGUCCCAGAGAUUCUGGUAUGUUGUGUCUUUGUUCUCAUUGGUUUCAAAUAACAUCUUUAUUUCUGCCUUCAUUUCAUUAUGUACCCAGUAGUCAUUCAGGGGCAGGUUGUUCAGUUUCCAUGUAGUUGAGCAGUUAUGAGUGAGUUUCUUAAUCCUGAGUUCCAGUUUGAUUGCACUGUGGUCUGAGAGACAGUUUGUUAUAAUUUCUGUUCUUUUACAUUUGCUGAGGAGUGCUUUACUUCCAACUAUGUGGUCAAUUUUGGAAUAAGUGCGGUGUGGUGCUGAGAAGAAUGUAUAUUAUGUUGAUUUGGGGUGGAGAGUUCUGUAGACGUCUGUUAGGUCUGCUUGGUGCAGAGCUGAGUUCAAUUCCUGGAUAUCUUUUUUAACUUUCUGUCUCAUUGAUCUGUCUAAUGUUGACAGUGGGGUGUUAAAUUCUCCCAUUAUUAUUGUGUGGGAGUCUAAGUCUCUUUGUAGGUCUCUAAGGACUUGCUUUAUGAAUCUGGGUACUCCUGUAUUGGGUGCAUAUAUAUUUAGGAUAGUUAGCUCUUCUUGUUGAAUUGAUCCCUUUACCAUUAUGUAGUGGCCUUCUUUGUCUCUUUUGAUCUUUGUUGGUUUAAAGUCUGUUUUAUCAGAGACUAGAAAUGCAACCCCUGCCUUUUUUUGUUUUCCAUUUGCUUGGUAGAUCUUCCUCCAUCCCUUUAUUUUGAGCCUAUGUGUGUCUCUGCCCCUGAGAUGGGUCUCCUGAAUACAGCACACUGAUAGGUCUUGACUCUUUAUCGUAUUUGCCAGUCUGUGUCUUUUAAUUGGAGUAUGUAGCCCAUUUACAUUUAAGGUUAAUAUUAUUAUGUGUGAAUUUGAUCCUGUCAUUAUGAUGUUAGCUGGUGAUUUUGCUCGUUAGUUGAUGCAGUUUCUUCCUAGACAAACAGCCAAAUCAUGAGUGAACUCCCAUACACAAUUGCUUCAAAGAGAAUAAAAUACCUAGGAAUCCAACUUACAAGGGAUGUGAAGGACCUCUUCAAGGAGAACUACAAACCACUGCUCAACAAAAUAAAAGAGGACACAAACAAAUGGAAGAACAUUCCAUGCUCAUGGAUAGGAAGAAUCAAUAUCGUGAAAAUGGCCAUACUGCCCAAGGUAAUUUAUAGAUUCAAUGCCAUCCCCAUUAACCUACCAAUGACUUUCUUCACAGAAUUGGAAAAAACUACUUUAAAGUUCAUAUGGAACCAAAAAAGAGCCCACAUUGCCAAGUUAAUCCUAAGCCAAAAGAACAAAGCUGGAGGCAUCAUGCUACCUGACUUCAAACUAUACUACAAGGCUACAGUAACCAAAACAGCAUGAUACUGGUACCAAAACAGAGAUAUAGACCAAUGGAACAGAAUAGAGCCCUCGGAAAUAAUACCACACAUUUACAACCAUCUGAUCUUUGACAAACCUGACAAAAACAAGAAAUGGGGAAGGGAUUCCCUAUUUAAUAAAUGGUGCUGGGAAAACUUGCUAGCCAUAUGUAGAAAGCUGAAACUGGAUCCCUUCCUUACACCUGAUACAAAAAUUAAUUCAAGAUGGAUUAAAUACUUAAAUCUUAGACCUAAAACCAUAAAAACUCUAGAAGAAAACCUAGGCAAUACCAUUCAGGACAUAGGCACGGGCAAGGACUUCAUGUUUAAAACACCAAAAGCCACGGCAACAAAAGCCAAAAUUGACAAAUGGGAUCUGAUUAAACUAAAGAGCUUCUGCACAGCAAAAGAAACUACCAUCAGAGUGAACAGGCAGCCUACAGAAUGGGAGAACAUUUUUGCAAUCUACUCAUCUGACAAAGGGUUAAUAUCCAGAAUCUACAAAGAACUCAAACAAACUUACAAGAAAAAAACAAACAACCCCAUCAACAAAUGGGCAAAGGAUACGAACAGACACUUCUCAAAAGAAGACAUUUAUGCAGCCAACAGACAUAUGGAUAAAUGCUCAUCAUCACUGGCCAUCAGAGAAAUGCAAAUCAAAGCCACAAUGAGAUACCAUCUCACACCAGUUAAAAUGGUGAUCAUUAAAAAGUCAGGAAAUAACAGGUGCUGGAGAGGAUGUGGAGAAAUAGAAACACUUUUACACUGUUGGUGGGACUGUAAACUAGUUCAACCAUUGUGGAAGACAGUGUGGCGAUUCCUCAAGGAUCUAGAACUAGAAAUACUACUUGACCCAGCCAUCCCAUUACUGGGUAUAUACCCAAAGGAUUAUAAAUCAUGCUGCUAUAAAGACACAUGCACACGUAUGUUUAUUGUGGCACUAUUCACAAUAGCAAAGACUUG